rnacentral:lncRNA from 1 species
GUGAGGAAGAGGUAGUAAGUCUACCCGGGAGGAUGCCUAGGGUGAGGAAGUCGACUCCAUACCUAAGGACUACCUCCACCAAGACAGAAAGAAGGGUUAUUGUUGUAGGUGACUCCUUUCUCAGGGGAACAGAUUUUUUUUUCUGUUUGUCAGCCUGACCCUACCCAUAGGGAAGUCUGCUGCCUCCCUGGGGCCAGGGUCAGGGACAUUGCCAGAAAGCUUCCCAACCUGGUUCGCCCCUCUGACUACUAUCCUCUUUUAAUAGUCCAGGCUGGCAGUGAUGACAUUGAAGAGAGAAGCCUGAAGACCAUCAAACAGGAUUUUAGGGGGCUGGGACGGUUAGUGGAUGGAGGCGGAGUACAGGUGGUGUUUUUGUCCAUCCCUACGGUGGCAGGGAGGGGUACAGAGAGGACACGGAAACCUGAUAAUCAUGUGGCCUAGAGGCUGGUGCCAACACAGAAAUAUUUUUUUUUUUCACCAUGGGACGCUUUACUCGGCACCCAGCCUGAUGGCCGCAGACAGGUCCCUAUCUCUACGGGAAAAACGGAUCCUGGGCCAGCAGCUGGCAGGGCUCAUUGAGAGGGCUUUAAACUAGGUAAGAAGGGGGAUGGGGCUGAAGCAAGGAUUGUUGGAGCUGUGCCAGGGAUAACAAUGGCAAGGCUGGGAGAGAAGGCAAUGGCCCAACUGAAGUGCAUCUACACUAAUGCACGCAGCAUGGGUAACAAACAGGAGGAGCUGGAAGCCAUUGUGCAGCAGGCAGGCUACAAAUUGGUUGCCAUCACGGAGACGUGGUGGGUCCAGUCUCAUGACUGGAGUGCUGCAAUGUCUGGCUAUAGGCUCUUUAGAACGGACCGGCAGCACGAAAGGGGUGGUGGUGUGGCUCUCUAUAUCAGAGAGAGUUUUGAUGUCGCAGAACUUGAGGCUGGGAAUGAUAAGGUUGAGUCCCUAUGCGUUAGGAUCAGCAGGAAGGCCAACAAGGCAAGCAUCCUAGUGGGGGUCUGUUAUAGACUGCUGAACCAGGAUGAGGAGACUGAUGAGGCGUUCUACAGGCAGCUGACAAAACUUGUGAAAUUGUCAGUGCUUGUUCUUGUGGGGGACUUCAACUUCCCAGAUAUAUCCUGGGAGUACAACACAGCCCAGAGAAAGCACUCUAGGAGGUUUCUGGAGAGCGUGGAAGAUAGUUUCCUGAUGCAGCUGGUUAGUGAGCCUACCAGGGGUGGUGCCUCGCUAGACCUUCUCUUCACAAACAGAGAAGGACUGGUGGGGGAUGUGGUGGUUGUAAACUGUCUUGGGCAGAGUGACCAUGAAAUGGUCGAGUUCUCCAUUCUUGGAGAAGCCAGGAAGGGGACCAGUAAAGCCGCUGUAUUGGGCUUCCGGAGGGCUGACUAUGAGCUGUUCAGGACACUGGUUGGCAGAGUCCCUUGGGAGGCGGUUCUGAAGGGCAGAGGAGUCCAGGAAGGCUGGGCGGUCUUCAAGAGGGAGAUCUUAAUGGCACAGGAGCGGUCUGUCCCCACGUGCCCAAAGACGAGCCGGCGGGGAAGAAGAUCAGCCUGGCUGAACAGAGAAUUGUGGCUUGAGUUUAGCAGGAAAAAGAAGGUUUAUAAUCUUUGGAAAAGAGGGCAGGCCACUCAGGAGGACUAUAAGGAUGUUGCAUGGCAGUGCAGGGACAGAAGUAGAAAGGCCAAAGCUCAUCUGGAGCUCAAUCUGGCUACUGCCAUCAAAGACAACAAAAAAUGUUUUUACAAAUACAUUAAUGCAAAAUGGAGGACUAAGGAGAAUCUCCAUCCUUUACUGGAUGUGGGGGGAAAUUUAGUUACGAAAGAUGAGGAAAAGGCAGAGGUGCUUAAUGCCUUCUUUGCCUCAGUCUUUAGCGGCAAUACCGGCUGUUCUCUGGAUACCCAGUACCCUGAGCUGGUGGAAGGGCAUGGGGAGCAAAAUGUGGCCCUCACUAUCCAUGAAGAAAUGGUUGGCAACCUGCUACAGCACUUGGAUAUACGCAAGUCGAUGGGGCAGGAUAGGAGCCACUCACUGAGAGAGCUGGUGGAGGAGCUGGCCAAGCUGCUUUCCAUUAUUUAUCAACAGUCCUGGCUAUCGGGGGAGGUCCCAGUGGACUGGCGGCUAGCAA